AUUAUGCAGGGCUAGCCAAAGGAGCCUAAACCAUGUAGGACAAAAUUGCAAAGAUAUAGACAUUAUUAUUUUUAACUUUUGUUUUAGUUUGUCAUCUAUAUCUGGGCUUUUUAUGCUCAGGAAAAACGUGGAACUCACUAUGAAAUGCAGAAUCUCUGCAAAUCAGUCCCGAGAGCCCCCACGAUCCUUCACUGAAGUCAAGGAAUCGAACACUCAGCUCGUAGAGCGGAUUGCUCAUUCCUCGCAGCUGAUAUCACAUGGGGGCCUACACUGGUCUGGAGUAAAGAGAAAUAAAUCGGAAACUUGCGAUAACUCUAGAACCAUGGUCCUUAAAGUACGGCUCCCCAACCAGCACCAUCAGUUUCACCUGGGAACUUGUUAGAAAUGCAGUUUCUCAGAACCCAGCCCAGACCUGCUCUGUCAGAAGCUCUAGGGGUGCCUCGUAUUCUCCAUUUAGCAAGUUCUCCAGUUGAUUCUGCUGCAGGCUGAACUUUGAGAACCACUGCUCUGGAUAAGAUUGAAGGCAAUUCCCGAAAGCUGAAGAGAGAUCACCAUAGACAUGUGGCAUCAUCUGUAUAUCCUCUAGUAGAAAGCAGGAGCCGCACUCCCCAGGUCUAGAACCGGAAGUGCGCCUCAUUAUGAAAUGAAAUGAUUAUUUUUGUGCUGAAGGAAAUACCUGUAGGACUCAAAGUUACUUUGGAGACAUAUAGAAAAUAAGAUUUAUGCGUGAGCGUUCAGAAGAAAUGAAAGCAUUUACACGGGCCGUCUUCCAGCCAGUCUGGUGAAAAAGGAGACAAAGAUGAAGAAUCUCUUCAAAACAAGAAUGCACGUGCCAACAGUAACGGCCUUUGUAUUUAAGAAGCAAUCAGUGAUAACAUGAUUUUCCUUUUCUGCCCUAUUUUUGUAUUUCAGUUCUUUGGGAAGAAGAGCAAUUAAAAACUUGACACACUAUCAAAAAAUGAUGCAAUGGAAAUUAAAUUGCAUGGAUUUUGUGAGUAGAUUUAGGGAAAUGGAAUGCGUUUGAUGUCGGGCCUCCCAAUCCUUGACCACAUCCCACUUGUCACAUAGGAAGAAAUGGAUUUCCAUGAUAUUUAGGAAAAAAAUGAACACGAUCUACAGAGUGUCUGUUAAUCUUACUUAAGGCAAGGAGGAGCCUGAAGAUGAAUGGUUCAGGAGAUGACAGAUGUCCUAAGAAGGAAAAUAGCUCCAAAACGAAACUAUUUCACCUCUUAUUUCUUAAGAGGCAGGCAUGUUCCCAAUCAAAACUAUAUCCAACAUUUUAUUUCAAGUAAAUGAGCUAAAUAAUGAUGUUGUUUGCAGAUAGAUACCUGUUAAUGUGUAAUAGAGCACUUGAAGAUAUUUACUAUUGGGGCAGAACCCUUUUGGGGUGUGCCCUGCUGAUGCUGGUCUGCUCUCUACAGGUUGUUGACAUGUUUAGGUCACCAGCAGAAAACUAGACACUCCAUGGAAACAAUCCUGGGAAAGGAGUGAAUAGAUCUGGUUUCAGUUUCUAGAGCUGUGCACCAGCAGAAAUUGAAGAGACCGUCUGUAUGGAUGGGACAUUGUAUGGACAUCUUGGAAGGAUUAAUUGAUGGUCCAAGUUCUCUGACGUCAGCUGGUGGCUAGAGCUUGGACUAGAAGGAUGAGGGUAGGCAAUUUGCUUGUCCAGGUCUUGAUUUGCUGGCCAGGCAUGUCCAUUCUCUCAUGGUUGAUACCUGCAUCAAUAGCGCUGAGAAGCAAUUAAAAUUAAGGAUUUCUGAAGAAAACAUGUUAAAACCUAUGAUGCAUUUUACAAAUUCUUGGAUAGAUGAGGCGUGUGGUUCCACAUCGAAUGCUGUGAGCUGUUUUCCUGUUCCCUUUUUCCAUGAAGCUGCGUAAUAAACAGAACUGAGCCGCCUGGUGGCCCAUGGGGCAAUUAUGAAUAUAGCAACGCUUCUCUUU
ensembl:lncRNA